GUGGGGAAUUUUGGACAAUGGGCGAAAGCCUGAUCCAGCAAUGCCGCGUGCAGGAUGAAGGCCCUCGGGUUGUAAACUGCUUUUGUACGGAACGAAAAGCUCUGGGCUAAUACCCCGGAGUCAUGACGGUACCGUAAGAAUAAGCACCGGCUAACUACGUGCCAGCAGCCGCGGUAAUACGUAGGGUGCAAGCGUUAAUCGGAAUUACUGGGCGUAAAGCGUGCGCAGGCGGUUUUGUAAGACAGUGGUGAAAUCCCCGGGCUCAACGUGGGAACUGCCAUUGUGACUGCAAAGCUAGAGUGCGGCAGAGGGGGAUGGAAUUCCGCGUGUAGCAGUGAAAUGCGUAGAUAUGCGGAGGAACACCGAUGGCGAAGGCAAUCCCCUGGGCCUGCACUGACGCUCAUGCACGAAAGCGUGGGGAGCAAACAGGAUUAGAUACCCCGGUAGUCC
rnacentral:rRNA from 1 species